rnacentral:rRNA from 1 species
UACAGAGGUCUCAAGCGUUGUUCGGAUUCAUUGGGCGUAAAGGGUGCGUAGGUGGCGCCGUAAGUCGGGUGUGAAAUUUCGGAGCUUAACUCCGAAACUGCAUUCGAUACUGCGGUGCUUGAGGACUGGAGAGGAGACUGGAAUUCAUGGUGUAGCAGUGAAAUGCGUAGAUAUGCGGAGGAACACCGAUGGCGAAGGCAAUCCCCUGGGCCUGCACUGACGCUCAUGCACGAAAGCGUGGGGAGCAAACAGG